rnacentral:rRNA from 1 species
UACGGAGGGUGCAAGCGUUAUCCGGAUUCACUGGGUUUAAAGGGUGCGUAGGUGGGUCUGUAAGUCAGUGGUGAAAUCUCCGAGCUUAACUCGGAAACUGCCAUUGAUACUAUAGGUCUUGAAUUAUCUGGAGGUGAGCGGAAUAUGUCAUGUAGCGGUGAAAUGCUUAGAUAUGACAUAGAACACCAAUUGCGAAGGCAGCUUACUACACAGUUAUUGACGCUGAGGCACGAAAGCGUGGGGAUCAAACAGG